GAUGAACGCUGGCGGCGUGCCUAAUACAUGCAAGUCGAGCGGAGCGGGGACGGGUGAGUAAAACGUGGAUAACCUCCUAUAAGACUGGGGUAAGUUAGGGAAACCGGAACUAAAACGGAUACUUAUAGAUGGAUAGGCGCUGCAUUAGGUAGUUGGUAAGGUAACGGCUUACCAGGGCAAGGAUGCAUAGCCGAACUGAGGGUGAUCGGCCACACUGGAACUGAGACACGGUCCAUACUCCUACGGGAGGCAGCAGUAGGGAAUCUUCCGCAAUGGGCGAAAGCCUGACGGAGCAACGCCGCGUGAGUGAUGAAGGUCUUCGGAUCGUAAAACUCUGUUAUUAGGGAAGCGGUACCUACUCAGAAAGCCCCGGCUAACUACGUGCCAGCAGCCGCGGUAAUUC
rnacentral:rRNA from 1 species